rnacentral:rRNA from 1 species
UACGAAGGGGGCUAGCGUUGCUCGGAAUUACUGGGCGUAAAGAGUGUGUAGGCGGUGCUCUAAGUUCGGUGUGAAAUCUCCCGGCUUAACUGGGAGGGUGCGCCGGAAACUGGAGUGCUCGAGCGCGGGAGAGGAAAGCGGAAUUCCUGGUGUAGCGGUGAAAUGCGUAGAUAUCAGGAGGAACACCUGUGGUGUAGACGGCUUUCUGGACCGUAGCUGACGCUGAGACACGAAAGCGUGGGUAGCAAACAGG